rnacentral:piRNA from 1 species
UGGAGUUUUCAUGGGUAGCCACUUU